GGCGGUAUGGCCAAGUGGUAAGGCAGAGGAUUGCAAAUUCUUUAUCCCCAGUUCAAAUCUGGGUGCCGCCU
rnacentral:tRNA from 1 species